AACGUCCUUAUCUUGGGUUGCGAGCUCAGCCAAUGAACGUCUAGUGAGGUUGAGACUGCUGACAACAAACAAAAGAUAAAAGCACGCAUCGCUCGCCCUCGUGGCGAGUCGGAUGCAAUUUUUGGACAC